UACGAACCGUGCGAACGUUGUUCGGAAUCACUGGGCUUAAAGGGCGCGUAGGCGGGCUGCCAAGUCAGGGGUGAAAUCGUUCGGCCCAACCGGACAAGGGCCCCUGAUACUGGCGGUCUCGAGGGCGGUAGGGGUCGAUGGAACUUCCGGUGGAGCGGUGAAAUGCGUUGAUAUUGGAAGGAACGCCGGAGGCGAAAGCGACGCACUGGAUCUCUUCUGACGCUGAGGCGCGAAAGCCAGGGGAGCAAACGGG
rnacentral:rRNA from 1 species